UCUUCCUCCAAUGGCGAGGUAAACACCCCUCCCACGUAUAAAUCACUGUAUUUCAAAUAGCCUCCCCAACCAAAACACCCCCGAUUUUUUUAUUUAUUUGAUUUCGGGAAGGGGAGGGGAGAGAGAUAGAGAGAUGGACGAGGCGUGGGAGAGGGCGGUGGAGGCGGCGCUCCACACCGCCGGCGAGGGGAGCUCGUCGCCGGCGAGGAGCCUGACCCUCGACGGCGCCGUCAAGUGCAUACACGGGCGCUUGCCGGCGCCGGAGAUACUGGAGCGCCACCAGAGCCUGGAGCACCUCUCGAUCGCGGGCGUCGGGGUCGCGUCGCUCGCGGGGUUCCCCCGCCUGCGGAACCUCACGCGCCUGACGCUCUCCGACAACCGCAUCGCCGGCGGCCUCGAGCACCUCGUCGAGGCGGGGCUCGGUUCGCUGCGCGACCUCGACCUCAGCAACAAUCGCAUCCAAGAUGUGGACGACCUCGCGCCGCUCGCCCGCCUCCGCCUCGUCUCGCUCGACCUCUACGAGUGCCCCGUCACGCGGGUCAAGGACUACAGAUCCAGGGUGUUCGGGUUGAUCCGGACUCUCAAGUACCUCGACAAGAUGGACGCCGACGAGAACGAGCGCCCGGAGUCGGACGACGACGACGACGAUGGGGACGGCGAAGGUGAUGGCGAGGAAGAAGAUGAUGAUGAGGACGACGAUGACGAGGAUCCUGGAAGCGGCGAGGUGGCAAACGGGGGCGCCUCGCACUCGCGAGGUAGCGUGGCACCGCGCCCGGUGGAGGUGAAUGGGGUGAUCGAUGUGGAUGAGGAUGAGAGCGAGGCCGACGAGGUCGUGCCCAAUGGGGAAGCCGAGCACCACCACAGGGCCAACGGGUUCAGGGUUGCAGCGGUUGGGGUAGCCCCUGAUGAGGAUGAUGAAGACGUGGAUGAUGACGACGAUGAUGCAGACGAAGAGUAUGAGGAGGAGGAUGAUUUGGGAGAGGAGAUCGAUGAGGAGGGUGAUGAAGAUGACACUGUUGUUGAGGUACUUGACGUGCCCAGUAGUGAUGAUGAGGAGGAUGGCAUCGAUGAGGAUGAUGAUGAUGAUGAGGAGGAGGUUGAGGAUGAUGGUGAUGGUGAGGAGGCUGAGCCAGAGAGUAGUGGAAGGGUUGCUAUGGUGGUGGGGGGUGUUGGAGAAGAGAUUGAUGGACAUGAGCAAGGUGAAGGUGAUGAUGAGGAUGAGAAUGGUGAGAUCGGAGAGGAAGAUGAGGAAAGAUUGGAGGAUAGUAGGGUUUAUGAGGAGGACAACGAUGAUGACGAUGCUGAUGAUGAGGAUGAAGACACAGAAUAUCUUGUUCAACCAAUUGUGACGCCCCAAGCCGUGGCUGUUGGAAGUCCAGAGGACUUUGAUAUUGCUGACCCUGAUGAUGUCGAUGAAGACAGAGACGAGGUCGAUGAUGAUGACGACGAGGGUGGCACAGACCAGCCGUCGUCCUCGCAGGGUAUCAAGCGGAAGAGGGAUGAUGACCCAUCAGGCAGUGGCAGCGACGAUGAGGAUGAUGAUACUGAAGACCGGCCGUUCAAGCACCAGUGACCAUUGUACAUGGAUCAUCCCCUUCCUCACCCCUUCUUCUCAGGUAGAAAGAAGUAAUCAGGAGCAGCAGCAGCAGCAGCAGAACAGAAAUGGUUGCAAACCACACCAGCAGACGAGGAAACGGCUGGCUCAGGCGGGCAACCAUGCUGCACCGGUCUCUUCUCCAUCGGGGUGCAGAUAGAGCGGCGGUGCAGCGCCACCCAACCAAACCAGUGGACAGCAACAACCCAUCCACCGUAAGGCGUCGAUCGGCCGCGCGACAGACUCGUUCCCAUGGCGACCCGGGCUCUGCACUCGCCGAGGCUCACGAGCCCGGCGCUCACGGGUCGGCAUGCGGCGGCGAGGUGCAAGUGCUCCACCCCGCCGCUCUUCGUGAAGCGACUGCCGCUCGUCGUUGCCUUCCCUGGCGCCACCACCGCAACCAGUGGUACUUGUUAUCGUAAGUAUCUUCAGAAUUAGGAAUAUGAUCAUUAGCAUAUCACUGGCGAUGAGCUGCCAAUGAUGGGGCAAAAUUGACAAUAGAACUGGGUCUGACUCUGUUUAUGCUAGAGGGGGAGAGAUUGUGAUCACACCGGCUUGGUAGGGAAAUCAUCGAUAAGAUGAGUAAGAAACAAUAUGCCCAAAUUUCAGAUUUCUGGUCUAAUGAGGCAACUUAUAUUGAU